AGCUUUAUAGUCAAUAUAAUGAUAUUAGACUGCAAUUCUAAAGUAGAUUAUCAAUCUAAAGCUU
rnacentral:tRNA from 1 species